AGGCACUCCAGGUACCAGUGUAACAAGAUAUGACCUUGGACCGGAGUUGAUGAUCGCCCUUUGAAAUAUGUCUUGCAAAGUUUCAUAGGUCGAUAUUUCCUGGGAUUCACACAACAAACAAACACACCAAAAUAUGUAGGAAAGGGAACAAAACAAAGAAGUCGGGUAGUUUUAGAGAGUAUGUUAUAAAUGGCCAACGUUCGGACAGACGGAACGAAAAUUUGCAUUUUCGUAUUCUACGACCCGUAAAAUGCAAAGAAGGCGCGGAGAGCAAAAGCAGUCAGAGUAGCAAGACUGAAGGGUGAAAAAAGUGUUACAGCUAGCGCAAAAUGCUGAUCCAUUUGGUCUAACACCGAAAAAUUCUCACCGAUGUGAGUCAGUCGGCCCAAACUCGUAUUCGGGUAUACGUGCCAUGUGAUUGUUGACUCAGUGGUUGCGUUUCCUUUUCACCGAGUGCCUGGCACGGAUGUAUGUGAAAGAUAUGGAGCGACAUAGUGUGUAGUCGCGAAGUGUUGAGAUGGCCUAUUAAUAUCACUUGAAGUGGUAGACACAUUCUAGGUACAAAGAGCUUCAUUGUAAUCAAAGGAAGCGAGAUGCUCGUCGUAUUAGCUCUAACGAGUUUCUUCCCCUCUAUUGGCUUGCAUACGUUUUGCAUUUCAAUACGUGGAAAGAAU